CGAGCGCAGCGAGAAAGCGUUGCCGUAGGCAACGACCCGAAGGGCGAAGCGCGCAGCGCUGAGUAAUCCUUCCCCCGUCAUCC
rnacentral:sRNA from 2 species